GCAAACACGAAAGUGGACGUAUACGGUGUGACGCCUGCCCGGUGCCGGAAGGUUAAUUGAUGGGGUCAGCGCAAGCGAAGCUCCUGAUCGAAGCCCCGGUAAACGGCGGCCGUAACUAUAACGGUCCUAAGGUAGCGAAAUUCCUUGUCGGGUAAGUUCCGACCUGCACGAAUGGCGUAAUGAUGGCCAGGCUGUCUCCACCCGGGACUCAGUGAAAUUGAACUCGCUGUGAAGAUGCAGUGUACCCGCGGCAAGACGGAAAGACCCCGUGAACCUUUACUAUAGCUUGACACUGAACACUGGUCCUUGAUGUGCAGGAUAGGUGGGAGGCUUUGAAGUGUGGACGCCAGUCUGCAUGGAGCCAUCCUUGAAAUACCACCCUUUAAUGGCUGGUGUUCUAACGUGGGCCCGUGAACCGGGUUGCGGACAGUGUCUGGUGGGUAGUUUGACUGGGGCGGUCUCCUCCUAAAGAGUAACGGAGGAGCACGAAGGUUGGCUAAUCCUGGUCGGACAUCAGGAGGUUAGUGCAAUGGCAUAAGCCAGCUUGACUGCGAGCGUGACGGCGCGAGCAGGUGCGAAAGCAGGUCAUAGUGAUCCGGUGGUUCUGAAUGGAAGGGCCAUCGCUCAACGGAUAAAAGGUACUCCGGGGAUAACAGGCUGAUACCGCCCAAGAGUUCAUAUCGACGGCGGUGUUUGGCACCUCGAUGUCGGCUCAUCACAUCCUGGGGCUGAAGUAGGUCCCAAGGGUAUGGCUGUUCGCCAUUUAAAGUGGUACGCGAGCUGGGUUUAGAACGUCGUGAGACAGUUCGGUCCCUAUCUGCCGUGGGCGCUGGAAGAUUGAGGGGGGCUGCUCCUAGUACGAGAGGACCGGAGUGGACGCAUCACUGGUGUUCGGGUUGUCAUGCCAAUGGCACUGCCCGGUAGCUACAUGCGGAAGAGAUAAGUGCUGAAAGCAUCUAAGCACGAAACUUGCCCCGAGAUGAAUCUUCCCUGAGCCUUUAAGGCUCCUGAAGGAACGUUGAAGACGACGACGUUGAUAGGCCGGGUGUGUAAGCGCAGCGAUGCGUUGAGCUAACCGGUACUAAUGAACCGUGAGGCUUAACCUU
rnacentral:rRNA from 1 species